rnacentral:lncRNA from 1 species
GCAAUAUUUUUCCUUUCCCACUAGUGACUAAAAACGUAAAGGACGAGUUAAACAUGUCCACAACACCAGAUUAGAUUAAUGGUGGAGCCAUCCAAUAUGGCCGCCAUUGGCUUCACUUAUAUGCACAGCAGAUGCUUUAUCCAGUCUUAUUUUAGAUCAGUGCUCGGUACUCACUAUAUAUAGUAUGCUCCCUUUACUAUUGUUCUAGUUUACAGAAGCAGAUGGAAUAGAACUUAAUUUAAAGCUAAGGUACUAAAACUGAUCACUCAUGUAGAUAAUUCUAGAACUUAUAGCCGUACCUUGGUCAGUUGGUCAGUUCUAUUCUCUGCUUCGGUACUAAAUUACGUAGUUAGUAUGCCUAUAAACAACAAUUUGGUUAUAUUUAUAAUAUUACGAAUGACCUAUUCAUAAGUACUGUUAAUCGUAACUAUUUCUAAAACGACAAGAUUUUAAUAAAGAAAAUCAGUAAAUGCUGAUGUUACACGUUGAAUUUCGUUGAUUAUAAAAUCUACUUGUAAUAGUGUCAAUAGUGUAAAUUAUGUGCAGUGGGCCAUCUAUGUAACUAAAAUAAAGAGCGCGUUUAUAUAAGCAAGGAACUAUUUAACUAGCGUUUGGAGUUGGUCAUUAUUUGCAGUGUCAUCGACUUGUCUAUGAGCAUAUGUUUGAGUGACUGUAACUGAUAUGGUAUUUUACUUUUCCAUGGCAGCGUUGAACAUUACUUCAUUUUGCAAUUGAACACCAUGGUUAGAAACUGCUCGUAGCUAACUCUUAUCCAACCAUUCAAGUUGUGGUCAUGUUGUUUGAAAGCGUUUGUCAAAGUCU